rnacentral:lncRNA from 1 species
GUGUAUCCACUUUCUAAAUUGCCUUCUGCAUGGAAGGAGCCCACACCUCUCUCUCUCACUCCUCUGCACAUCAACUCGAUCGGAUUCUCUUCUCUAUCGAAUCACUUCCCUGACUCACUUCACCACCCUCUCUCUCUCUCUCUCUCUCUCUCUCUCUCUCUCUCUCUAGCUUUCGUUCUCUCUCUAUAAUCUGCUAGAAAACUGAGGGAAUGAUUCUGCUUAUAUGAGUAUUCCCUCAACUCUACACCGGCUCUCUGUUCUUAUUCA